CGCGCUCUCAUUAAAAGUCACAUUUCAUAAGUAAUUAAACCUAAACGCCUCAAACUAACGCUAAUAAUUGUGAGAUGAAGUGCUGGACUACCUAUAUAACAGGGACAAAAGUGGAUUUACGUGAUUAAUGAAUGAAAACAAGAAAAAAAGCGAAAAAAAAUCUUCGCUCAAUAAAAUAAAUAAAUAGAUAAAAUAAAUGUAUUGAAUAUUUAUAAGUGAUGGUUACAUUAAUAACACAAUCAACAACAAAAUAAACAGCAAGAGGAAGAGGAAGAACAAGAGGAAGAGGAAGAGGAAGAACAAGAGGAAGAGGAAGAGGAAGAACAAGAGGACCACAAGGAUAUUCUAAGAACACAAGACUCGAUCACCUAAGAUCAAGAUCAAGAUUACCCUCCUGAUCCGCCGCCAUUACAUGAGGACAGUAACAGCUGACGGUCUUUAAAGCUUUCUUCUUCGCAUAUCUGGGAAGGACGCUAACAGCUGGUCCUGAAAGCUUCUUUGACUCGCUAAGGAAAGUAACCUAACAACUAUUACUACUAAUAUAUGAAGUAUUGAAGUCACUUUGGGCCCUUAGCUAAGCAAGUUUUGGUGGUAGAAUCUUAAUAAUAGUAAUAUGAGAGGUAGUGUGAUGUGAGCCCCCCUGUGUGUACAUACGUAUCUUAAAUGAAUGUUCACAGCCAUGUCCUCACUGAUACACUAUAUUUUGCAGUGUUAUUGUGUAUUGUAAGCUUUCUUGGCCUGUAAAGCUUAGUGUGGGAGUAGCUGGUGGUCCUGCAUCUGCAACCACUACCAAGGGGCCUCAGUUUUCCCCAGACUGGAGGAGAAUGGUGCGUGUGUAGCAGUGAGGUGGGUAAGCAGGUGGAGAGCAGGUGAGGUAGAGCAGGUAGCAGGUAGGUGGCGCCUCACAGGAUCACUGAAGGAUUAAAACAUUUGGAAGUGAAUUUCAGUGAGAAGCUUCAUCCUAAGAUAAUGAAAUGUAUUGUUUAGAAAGACAAGAGUAAAGAAAAUAUGCUGGAAUGUUUGCUUGCUAAAAAUGUUUAUCUUCAUAGUGUAGACAGCUACUACUUGUAUGAUAGUUAGCUUGUAUGAUAGUUAAGUCAGUGUUUGAUAAGCCUGCCAAUGGUAACACUGUACACAACAUAUUAGGUUAGGUUAGGUUAGGUUAGGAAACUUGAGAUGAAGUUACAGAGAGAAGGAUAGAAGCCAUAGGAGGGUAGUUUGGAAAUGAAAGCUUUGUGCCAGACUAUGAAAAGCUUGUGAUAUGUCCAAGGCAACAGCAAAAGUUUCACCAAAAUCUCUAAAAGAAGAUGACCAAGACUCAGUAAGGAAAGCCAGAAGAUCACCAGUAGAGCGGCCUUGACGGAACCCAUACUGGCGAUCAGAUACAAGGUUGUCAAGUGAUACAUGUUUAACAAUCUUCCUGUUGAGGAUAGAUUCAAAAACUUUAGAUAGGCAGGAAAUUAAAGCAAUAGGACGGUAGUUUGAGGGAUUAGAACGGUCACCCUUUUGUUGUUGUUGUUGUUGGUAGUGAUGGUGGUUGUGGUGAUAACUGUAGUGGUGGUAGUGGUAGUGGUAGUAGUAGUGGUAGUAAUAGUAGUGUGCAACUACUACUACUACUACUAUUAUUAUUCCUACCACUACUACUACUACCACUACUAUAUUUUUCUGUUCCUACUACUACUACUACUACUACUACUACUACUACUACUACUACUACUACUAUUACUACUACUAUUAUUAUUAUUAUUAUUAUUCCUACCACUACUACUACUACUACUACUACUACUACUACUACUACUACUACUACUACUACUACUACUACUACUACUACUUAUUGCAGGAGUGUCUUGUGAAAUGACCCAGGAAAUGAAGAAUGGCUGGAGUGUGCCUGUGAAGAAGACACUGAAUUACAAAACAGUCAUAGAGGUUUUCUGUUUCCCGCCCUUCAAGUUGCUACUACUACUACUACUACUACUACUACUACUACUAUUAAUAAUGAGGAGCCUCGCUGUGUGGACCAGGACAAUGACAGCACCUACACUAUCCUGGACCUCUACUACUACUACUACUACUAUUACUGCUACUACUACCACUGCUACCAACACUGGCCUCUAUGUUGGCCUGGUGUUUGGGUUAAUUUUGUGUCUAAUGUUUGUGGCAACACUGUUCUUCCUU